rnacentral:rRNA from 1 species
CAGCCGCCGCGGUAACACCGGCAGCCCAAGUGGUAGUCAUGUUUAGUGGGUCUAAAGCGUCCGUAGCCGGCUAUGUAAGUUCCUUGGGAAAUUUGAUCGCUUAACGAUCAAGCUACCGGGGAAUACUACCUGGCUUGGGACCGGGAGAGGUUAGAGGUACUUCAAGGGUAGGGGUGAAAUCCGUUAAUCCUUGGGGGACCACCGGUAGCGAAGGCGUCUGACCAGACCGGAUCCGACGGUGAGGGACGAAGGCUAGGGGAGCGAACCGGAUUAGAUACCCCUGUAGUCCCUGUCUCUUAUA